rnacentral:lncRNA from 1 species
UGUGUGUGUGUGUGUGUGUGUUUGUUUGUUGGCACGAUAACUCGAGCGGAAGAAGCUACCAAUGUCAAAUUACACCACGUGAUUCGGGAGGGUGAUGGCUCGCGCUGAUUAGAUUUUGGUCAAAGGUCAAGGUCACAGUGAGGUCAAACAUUUGAUGGUUUGGUAGGGGGGGGGGGGGGGGGGGGGGGGGGGGGGGGGGGGGGGGGGGGGGGGGUGCUACCUUCUCUCGAGACAGCUUUUAUUAGACAAGGUCAGAGGUCAAGUUGACAAUUUCGUAAGUACCAGUCAAUGACUGCUUGUUUAUUUAUUUUUCCCUUCCUUAACCAUGACACACUUUAUCUGCUGUACUAGGUUGAUGGUUAGUGAUUGCAGUGUGCAGCUACUCCCGAUCCCAACAAACACCCCCAUUGGGAAUCGUUUCGUGCACAUCACCCCGGCACUAGUCACGACUACCAGAUCGACGGCUCAAAGUGAAGGACAAGUUCAGUCCAUUCCCAAGCUCAUGAUAGAGGUGGAAUCGGCAGGGAAAGGGACUGUGGACAUCGGUCCAAGUAUGGCUGGAGAGGGAUGUUUUAAAAGGCUUUCUGUAAGCAAACGUCACAGGAAUGACAACCUUUGCACCUCUCCUGCACCUGGCAUGUCAGACACCUAUGAUCUGGCUAUGACCCAACCGGAAUCUUGCGCAGAGUGUGAUGCGCAUGAUGGCACGGUGAAUAACCCAUGUAGAACGUGCGGGAAAAUGACUGCUGUCUGCAUCGACGAGGGAGCGAAUACCACACCACUCACCAGCGCUGCGACGUCUAUGGUUGUGGAAAGUGAUAUUCUGAAGGAAGGGUUGCGAUCGGCACAAGUCGUGCAGUUCAAAAGCACGCACCUCAUUGGAAUUGGCCAUGGUGUCGUGGUUCGUUGUGUCAGCAAUGAGAGUCGAGGCAGUUUUCAGCCACGACCACCAUCCUCAUGUCCUACCGAGAGGGGUAGACGAGGUCUUCUGUCUCAGAGGUUCAGGCGUAAUGGCCGUCGGUCUCUUGGUAGACCACAGCAGCCAGCUGAACCCAUUGUUCUGUCAAGUGAUGAGGAAGAGGAGGAGAGAAAACGACGGAAAGAGGACCGUGUGGCAGCGGCGACCGAGGAAUGUACACCUCAACUUGAUCGCUCACUUUCAGAUGACAAUGGUUUGGUGUUUGAAUCUGACAUCGACAUGACGGAGGAAAAAGCAAAAUCGAGAUCUGAUUUGCUGACCUCUGAGUGUGAAAAUCCCAUUUUGGAGCCAAUUGCUGAACAUUGCACAUCCAGAGAUCGGGAACCGAGUCUGGAUAGUGACGCGCGAUUGACGCCUGAGGAAGAUUCAAAGACCGAGCUGCAGUUUCUCUCAACACUACCACCUGUUCCUCCUCUACUGAACAAGAAGGCUCGCAUGAAAGAUGAGUUUGGGCAGCUCGCUUUGUCCCAGGACAAGCAGCGAAAGGUCAGGCCGAAGCAAGCAAGUGCGACGCAGUCCUCUCUGACAUCCGAGUCUGAGAAAUGCUAUUCAAUGGUUCUGCAGUUACAGUGCAGGUUUUUGCGUUUGGGAACAUUGAAAGUGAUGGCCCAGAGAAGUGUCACGGUGGGUAACUUUUUACCGACUUGUUACCUCGAGCGAAACACAAUUUUGCACAUGUCAAGGGACUUUGGCCAGAGGAUUUGUCUUUCUCUUUCGGGUUGGGAAUGAGGUGUUUUGAAUGUGUUUUAAAGGCACGACAAUUUCAUUGGUUGCUUUUCAACUUCACUGGUUUGUUUUUCAGGUUUCUGUCGAAAAUGUGA